rnacentral:lncRNA from 1 species
UAUAAACUGUGUGUUUUGAUUGCUUGCAGAUUAUUGGGCAUCAAGGUGGAGAUUGUUGGGUUUUUUGAUAUCCAAUAAUCCGGGCGAUGAUUUAAAACAGUUUUCGGAUUAUUUAUCGAUACCAUAGACUUGGCUCGACUUGGAGAUGAACUACACUUUUGGAUAGUUCAGAUUUGGGUUGGAUGAUUAUUUGGUUAGUUGGACCAUUUAGUGAUUAAUAUGGAGUUGAAUAUUGGCCCAUUAGUUUAAGUUAAUUGGUAGCCCGCUUAGUGAACUCUAGGCCCAAUUAGAGUGACCUAAACUAACCUAUAUAUAUGUAUUUAUCUCCUGGCCGUUUUUUGUGGUGGUGUGUGUGUUGUAGUAAUGGAGAGGAGAGUUAAGAGAAGAGAGGCAACCGAGAGAGAGGGAAGCCAUGUGAGGUUGUGAGUAAGAUUCAACCAGUGUUCUUCUUUCUCCCCAUACCUUUGUGGAUUGCUUACACCACCACCCUUCUCCUUUGUGGGGAUAGAGAGAAAGAGAGUAGUCCAAAGUGAAGGUGAAAGUCUCGGGUCGAGCCAAGAUAAACCGGUGUUCGUUUGAUUAUUUUUUGAAUCCGGAAUCAAGAUUUAUCGAGGGAUUUUCGCUACAGUCGCGUAAGCACAUAAACAUGUAAAGCACUCACAGUCUUGAUGCGUCGAUCGAUGACAAUAUAUGCAUGUUGUGUCUGUAGAAAUCUUGUACAUGGGCCCUAAUAUCUCUACUCUACUACGCUUGGAACAUUCACGAUUUAUAUUGUAAUUAUUAUAUCACUAUUCCACAUGUCACUGAAAGAUAGACAAUGAACUAUUAAAAAUAGGUUUAAUUAAAUUUAUUUAUUUUUUCAAGUAGGUGUCGACACUCAAACUUCAAGUGUCAACGACAAGCUAAAUUAAGGGUCAUUUUGGAUUAAAUUCAUCUAAAAAGACCAAUUACGCCCUCACAAGAUGGUGGCUCGUUUGAGCAAACCAAUCUUGAAAUUUGUAUGCUCAUUUUUUUGAGUUUUAUUCGG